rnacentral:tRNA from 1 species
GGCCAGGUAGCUCAGUUGGUAGAGCACACGACUGAAAAUCGUGGGGUCGACAGUUCAAGUCUGUCCCUGGCCA